GAUUUCAACUGAAAAAGUCAUCAACAAUAAAGUUGUAUAACUCAUCAAGAUCUAUAACUUUUAUUUUGAUCAUUUGUUCAUCCAACAAAGUGAUAGUAACAUUGUUCACAAAAUUACAUAUCUCUCAUAUGGUAUUAUAAACUAUUAGAAAAAUAUGCAAAUUUUGUGAACAAUGUUACAAUCACUUUAUCGAAUGAAGAAAUUAUCAAAAUAAAAGUUGUACGUCUUGAUGAGUUGUACAACUUUUAUGUUCAUGACUUUUUCAGCUGAAAUU
rnacentral:pre_miRNA from 1 species